GCUGGGCGUGGUGGCAGGCGCCUGUAAUCCCAGCUACUCGGGAGGCUGAGGCAGGAGAAUCAUUUGAACCCAGGAGGUGGAGGUUGCAGUGAGCCGAGAUCACACCAUUGCACUCCAGCCUGGGCAACAAGAGCGAAAACUCUGUCUCAGAAAGAAAAGAAAAGAAAAGUUCAUAUAACAUCAUUUUUUGUUUUUUAAAGACAGAGUCUCACUCUGUCACCCAGGCUGGAGUGCAGUGGCAUGAUCUCGGCUACUGCAACCUCCGCCUCCUGAGUUCAAGCGAUUCUCCUGCCUCAG
rnacentral:SRP_RNA from 1 species